GAUGAACGCUGGCGGCGUGCCUAAUACAUGCAAGUCGAGCGAAUGGAUUGAGAGCUUGCUCUUAUGAAGUUAGCGGCGGACGGGUGAGUAACACGUGGGUAACCUGCCCAUAAGACUGGGAUAACUCCGGGAAACCGGGGCUAAUACCGGAUAACAUUUUGAACCGCAUGGUUCGAAAUCGAAAGGCGGCUUCGGCUGUCACUUAUGGAUGGACCCGGGUCGCAUUAGCUAGGUGGUGAGGUAACGGCUCACCAAGGCAACGAUGCGUAGCCGACCUGAGAGGGUGAUCGGCCACACUGGGACUGAGACACGGCCCAGACUCCUACGGGAGGCAGCAGUAGGGAAUCUUCCGCAAUGGACGAAAGUCUGACGGAGCAACGCCGCGUGAGUGAUGAAGGCUUUCGGGUCGUAAAACUCUGUUGUUAGGGAAGAACAAGUGCUAGUUGAAUAAGCUGGCACCUUGACGGUACCUAACCAGAAAGCCACGGCUAACUACGUGCCAGCCGCCGCCGUAA
rnacentral:rRNA from 1 species